GAUCAGACGUUCAGGAAAGUGAUGAUCGGAGUUGCUGUCGGAGUUCUCGCAAAAUGUUUGUUUUUGUAGGAGUUCAUUUAACUCAUUCUGGAAAUUGCUGUAAUAAAGGUUCACCAUGAAACAGUCAAGAUCAACUUUAAAGUCUUCUGCAGAGGUGUGUGUGUGUUGUACUUCUUUUUUAGUGAGGACCACUUUGAGUUUUAGACCAAAAGAGUGAUGACAUUUUGUCUUCUGUCCUCAGCCUCUUAAAGGCCAGUUUGAGUUGUGACCUGGUGACAGGUUGAAGGUUUGAAUCAGGUAUUGUGUGUGGUUGCAGUUGUGGUGAAAGACAAAAGGUAAAAUUUUGGAGGUCGGGGCAGCACUUAACAGAUUCUUACCAAAUCUGAAUUGUAAAUGUAAAGCUGUAAAGACAAUUAUUAAGUGCUUUAGAUAAAAGAGUUAUAUUUACUUAAUAUAUAACUGCAGUCUAAUAACCACUUACUUUCUGCUUCCAACACAAAAUGCCUGUAUAUUACAUACAAUUAUACCAAUUAUAAAACACUUACAUCUGUCCAAACAGAGCGCAGAAUGUUUAAUUUGCCUCAUCUUAACAAUACUUAACUAGCAUACUUUAGCAAUUAAACUUUAACUUUUUCUUUUUUUUUUUUUUUUUUACAUUUUUUUCCCCUCAUACAUCAAACUUUAACUAGACAUCAAUCAUUAUUAUUAAUCAGUAAUCAAUCAAACUAAUAUAUCAAAAUGUCACUACUGAAUGUAAUUGAGGGUUUUCUAAUAUCGUGUGAUGGGAGUUGUUGAGAUUGUUUCAUUUAUUAGUUUAAUUUAUUAAUGAUCUUAACGGCCAUGAUCAAGAAAUUUUACCUCCUUAGUUCUAUAAAUGAUGUGUAGAUGGUACUGUCUUAUUGAGUACGAAUUAAAGCCUGCAUCACAGAAACACUUCGUACAUUGCAGCCAAAAACACCCAUAAUUCUCUGUGUACUAGUGGUACAAUAAAAGAAGGAGCACAAUACAAGAUAUAUUUGAUCACAGAGAUAAAAAAAAUAGAUGAAGAUCAACAGAGUCGGACUAGUCACAUGAAAUGUGAUGAAUAAUUUGAUUAAUAAUAAUAAUAAAUAAUUAUGUGAUGGCAAAGUAGGAUAAUGAAACAAUAAAAGCAACGUUCAGUGAUCCAAGUUAGAAAGGGAUCAACCUCUUUAAAGAGGGUUGAGACUUGUCUGCUGAAGUGUAAAGACCCUGACACACCAAGCUGACGGUCGGCCGUUAGUCAGUGUCAGGCUGUUAGUGAAAUUCUAGCGCCCUAGUCUUUGCAAUAUGUCCUGCACCGUUGGCUGUUGUCAGAUUCAGCAUGUUAAAACGGCUCUUAUUGUCAGUUCAGCUCAGUGCAUAAGAAGAGAAAUGGAAGUGAGGAAAGUAAACAAACAGCUAAAGUCAAGAGGAAGUGAGAUCAAAACAAACUUGUUACGUAACGUCAGAUUAUUUUUCGUUAGCCAUUGAACUCCUCAGCAGAAACAUUUCCUGAUGGUUUGUGUUUUUGUUCACCGGGGCACGGUAAAUAUCAUUUGUUCUUGUUCUCUGUUAUUAAUGAGCUAACCGGCUAACUAGCGUCUUGUAUUCAACCUGUCUGUCUUCCAGUUUCCCUUUUUAAAUUAAGUUUAUGGACUACCGCCGUCUACUGCUAUGGAGAAUUAUUUCCUCUCAUACAGGCUCAGAACGUUUGUGCUGGUUGGCUGUUGGUUGUAAUCUUGACGAUGUGCAAUCUUGACAUUCCCUAGUUUGGUGUGUCUGGUCCAUAAGGACAAAAACAUCACAGUCACUCUCUGUAAUCAGGUGAUAAUCAGGUGAUAAUCAGGUAACUUGAAACAACCAGGAGACUCCUUAUUGAGGAUUUUAGGAAGAGAUUAAAAUACCUGUAGUGUAACUUGUAGUUUGAACAUGAAGUGACCAAAACAUCAUCAACAGAAAAUAAUUUCCCCUCGGGGAUCAAUAAAGUAUUUCUGAGAAUCUUAAAUUAUCAAAGUGACAGGCAUCUAAUGAAGAAUGAAAGUUUGUUUGUGUUCUCCUUUAAUUAGUUGAAAUCCAAACAGCACCAUGUUUAAAAAAAUUGAAGACAAGUGACUUUUGACUGAUUCCUUAAUAAAGAGAACUGUGAUCGUCCAGACGAAAUGAGAUUAAACCAUUUCAUACUUAUUCGCCAUCUGUGGUUGUUUAAAAAAAACUAAAUGUUACUGAUGAUCCUCAGCUGAAGGAAACAGGAUGGCUCCUCCACAGUCACUUUUUAAUUCCCAGACAAAGUGUUGAAAUAACUGCUAGCAGGUGGUCAGUUAAUCACAGGGUCGGUGGUUCAAUCCCCGGCUCCUCCUGUCCACAUGUCCAAGUGUCCUUGAGCAAAACACUGAAGCCCAAAUUGCUCCUGAUGGUCAGACAGCAGCUUGCAUGGUAGCUGGCUGACAUCAGUGUGUGAAUGAGUGAGUGAGUGAAUGAAUGAAUGAGGAAGAUAUAAAGUGCUAUAUAAUGUAGUCCAUUGACCAAAUAUGAUCCUGCUGCUUGUAGUUGUUAAAGGUCCUAACUGAGCUCCACAUGGACAUUAACAGAAUCAUGAGACUUCACUGAACUAAAGCCUGCUGUCACGCUGUCAAAGAAAUGUGAAUAUUUUGGAGCUAAAGUGAAAUAUAAUGGGACUUAUUGUUUAUUUUGAUAUUGAUCAUUGGGACAAACAUGUACUGCUUCUUUUUAUUGGUUAAGGUGCUAAGCCAGAGUCUGUCAGCUACAGUUACACACUGAACUAUACACUCAGUGUCCACUUUAUUAGGUACACUGUUGUUGACUGUCAUAUUAGAAGCUCAUGCAUGUUUCUGUUGUUCUCUGAUGAUGCUCUUGCAGGUAUCAUGUAAUUUCAGGCAGAGCUUCAUCAUUUCUGUUCAAACGUUUGAAUAAAACAUGAAAAAUGUCAAA